rnacentral:lncRNA from 1 species
AAAACACGACUUUUUCAUUCAUCAUUAUUUUAUUUUUUUUUUGAAACAGAUUAAAAAAUUCUAAUCCCGAUCACAAGGGGGUUUAUAGGUGCACACACACGUAGAUUGUACACCACUAUCCUCACACCUUGCAUCAACAUAACGUGAUGGAUCCUUUUGAAAAGCAACUUUACAAUAUAAAGGGCAAUCUGGUAAAGUUUCACAAGGCACAUAACCAGUGAAACGAUAUUCACAUAACUUGUCAUCACCAUUCACUUGUGUCAUCAUCAACAUCCCUGUAAAAUCGAGACGUGUUACGAGUUCAGUCGAAUAUAAUAACUUAAUUAUUGAACUGAAGACGAUCAAAAAUUGUUCAAAAUUUAUUUAUUUUUAUUUUUCGGGGUGUGGGGUAGAGGAGGCUGAUAAUUGCGGGGUUAGAAUCAAUCUGUUGUAUAUAUACAAGUAUUUUCUACUAGGAUUGUUCACGAUUUGGUAAACCCAAGGGCGGCACAAGUAUGUUAGUGGCCUAAGUCCAAAAUCAAACGGAGGCCUUAAAAUUUUAAGAAAAAAAGUUAUUUUUUUAACAAAAUCUAUUUUAAAAUUAUAUGCUCGCUUUCUUCUCAUAAGUCUCUUUUAGUUAGUGAUAUAAUCAAUACAUUUAAUUUUUCUUGAGAUAUAAUACUCCAAAUAUGUCAAAAUUCUACUAAUAAUACUUUUAUUAUACAUAAAAAAUUUAUUUUUUACACAUAAUAUAUAUAUUAUUACUUAAAAAAUGAGGCCCUCAGAUUUAGGGGCCUUAGGCGAUACCUUUUUUUCAACAGGGUAGGUCCGCCCCUGGGUAAACCAAGUUGAAAAAUCGAAUCAAACCUAGUACAUAAACCAAACUUCACUUGUUUGGUUUGGUUUUGAUUUUAUUCAAAAAAAAAAAAAAAAAUUGAAGAAAGAGCCUAAUCGAAUUCACAAUGUGUAUAUACAUUUUUUGUAAUUAUAAAUACAUAAUAUAACUUAAUUAUUGAUGGGAGGCUAUUGGGAUUUGCCCAAAUUUUGUUUGUUUUUCUAUUUUGAGGUGAGGAUGAGGGAGGUUGAUAAUUGCAGGGUUAGAAUCAGUAUAUGUGUAUACAAAUUCUUUUUAAAAACACAAGUAUCGAAUAACUCGAACACGUCAAAUUUUAAACAAAAAUAAAAAAAAUCAAAUAUCAUUUUUUUUAUUUCUACUAAGAUUUGAAUUAUGAUCUAUUGUGAUUGUCAUCUACCGCAAGGUUAACAUUUUAUUUCCUCUUAAUUUAAUAAAAAUAAAUUUAAAUAAAGAGAAGGAAUAUUUACUUUCAAAAUCAAAUAGAAACUGUAGAUGCAUACUUACCACAAAAGCAAGCAAUGAGGAUAAUAGAAGAUCGAAAAGAAACACCAAAGUUUUCCAUUGAAUAAUUUUGUGAAUAAAAUUGUUAUAUUAUCUCUCUUUUAUAAUAG